GCGUAGCUUAGCCAGUACAGCAUGAAACUAUUAAUCUCAGGGUCAUGGGUUUGAGCCUUAUGUUGGGCA